ACAGGAUGUACCAUAAUUACAUAUAUGAUGUUUGACUGACUGUAGUAUUUGUAAUUCUGGGCAAAAAGGCUCGAUAUGGUAACACCGUGUAGCCUGAGAGUGGAGAUAAUGGUCACUGGACUUAGAACCAUUAGUGUAUGCCAGACAGGAUGGCAGAAUGGUUCUGACAACAUUGCUCUUCGUCUCCAGGCAUAUAUCGUUUUGGAAGGUGCAUUGGUAGACCAUGCUAUGGAGAACAGAGAUUAAAAUUGUUUUAAGGAAAGGUAUGAGAGUAACAUGUUUAUGUUCAAGUUAUAUUGCUAGUUUCUUUACCACAGUCUUUGAAACAUCAUAUACAUAAUUAUGGACCAGCUGGCAGUUUUCAAUUUUAUGAAUUUAUUCAUUUUUCCUGGAUGUGUUUAUAAAAUAAAGAACUUGCAAACCAAAAAUCAAUUUCCCUUUAUGCCUAAUGUUGUUAGAGGUUUUGUUCUCAGAAAUGCAAUUUUACCAGCAAUAAAAUCAAUAGUUUAUGAUGAAAAAAUGAUUUAUUUAUCUAAAGAAAUC
rnacentral:lncRNA from 1 species